rnacentral:tRNA from 1 species
UUAAAGGUAAGUUAAAAAGACUACAGGACUCAUGUUUCUGAAGUAGGAAAUUCCUCUUUUAAA